UUUCCGUAGGUGAACCAGCGGAAGGAUCAUUAAAGAGUAAGGGUGCUCAGCGCCCGACCUCCAACCCUUUUUUGUCAAAACUACCUUGUUGCUUUGGCGGGACCGCUCGGUCUCGAGCCGCUGGGGAUUCGUCCCAGGCGAGCGCCCGCCAGAGUUAAACCAAACUCUUGUUAUUUAACCGGUCGUCUGAGUUAAAAUUUUGAAUAAAUCAAAACUUUCAACAACGGAUCUCUUGGUUCUC
rnacentral:misc_RNA from 1 species